rnacentral:lncRNA from 1 species
CAGCUGUGUCUAAGUGCAGGUGCAGGGUCUCCCGGGGGGGCUCUGACUCAACACCGAGCUGCCUUUGAUUCUUACAGCUCUACUCCCUGGAUCGGUUCAGUUCCAAGCUCGUCCUGAUCGGCUGGGCAGCUCUCAAUCUCUUUGUGGAAUCUGGGACGCACAGAGCCCCGGCUGCAGAUUCCCAGGGGAUCCAGGUCUCUCUGAACGAGGGUGCCCACCAGCUUCGCCUGUACCACAGUGGCCCUGCCACGGACCAGCUGUUCUCUGUCGGUGCCCUCACCUCUGCAGGACGGUAUGUCCCAUGUGCCAGCCUGCUAGUCAGGCUGCUCAAAGCCCCCGUGGACUCCAGCCAUCAAACCCUGCAGAGAAGCAUGGUUCCCCAGGGGGACUGGGUCAGACUCGGCCUCUUCCAGCCCAGGCCUGACUAUUCAGACGGGAUCUAUUAUUCAGACUCGGUCGUGCCCACCGCCGGGGAGAGGUGCCUCUACAGCGCCAUGGGAAACAGGUCUGCAGUGCUGGUUCGGGAGAUUGUCCCUCAGCUUGUGGGAAACGAAGGCCCGGAGCUGAAUACAGAUGCGGAGAUCUCUACUUGGAUCAAAGAGAAACUGACCAGGACGAUGGACUGCAGCCCUCAGCCUUUCAAUCUUACCUAUGUCUCUCGAUACCUCCCUACAUACGGCAUUAAGUUUGCAGUGGAUGGUGCCAAGAAUCUACCCUGGUCUGGUUUGACGGUGGCUCAUUUCUGCUUCAAUCCCCCUGGGGCCUUUUAUUUUGGGAGGCCCUGGCUAAAAUACGAUCGUCCUGUCUUUGUGGAGGAGCUUGACCUUGACAGCUACCAGCGAUGGCCUGUGUGGCUGGAUGGAUUCAAGUCCUUUCCCCAGAGGAUUUACAAUGAGUAUCUAACGGUGAUUAUCCACCUGUACGAAGUCCUGGUGAAUCCUGAGCCAGACACUCCGGGCAAAAAGGCAGCCACCAGACCUGUGCCGAGAGGAAUCAUGAGGAAAGAGGGCGAAAGGCUGCGCUAUGCACUGGGGAGUGAAGCAUGGGCUGUUCUCCAAGUGUUCUCUAGUGGCUACUGCAAUACUGAUGUUUAUCAGCUGCCUCUGUACCAGGGGGCUCCCAGCCAGAACAUUGUGAUCUCCUUCUCCCAAGGAACGUGUACCAGCGUUACGCAGGAGCUGGCGAACAGGAAAGUGAUUGAGCUGGUGAGAGGGGCAUCUGUGGUUGUCCGUCUAGCAGAUGGUAGGCGGGAUGAAGAGCUUAGCCUGCCCCCCAAACAGGUGAGCAUUAUGAUGCGUCAGUGUUAGUAGAGGGGUGCAGGUGUCCUCCUUUGAACUGAAUUGGCACUUGGCCAUAUGGUUUCCUCACCCUUGAUGC